rnacentral:rRNA from 1 species
UACGAAGGGGGCUAGCGUUGCUCGGAAUGACUGGGCGUAAAGAGCGUGUAGGCGGCUUGUUAAGUCUUGCGUGAAAUCUCGGGGCUCAACCCCGAGCGGUCGUGAGAAACUGGCAGGCUAGAGUGCGGGAGAGGAGAGUGGAAUUCCUGGUGUAGCGGUGAAAUGCGCAGAUAUCAGGAAGAACACCCGUGGCGAAGGCGGCUCUCUGGAACGCAACUGGCGCUGAGACGCGAAAGCGUGGGGAGCAAACAGG